GCCGAAGUGGCGGAAUUGGUAGACGCGCUAGAUUCAGGUUCUAGUGGAUGUAUUUCUGUAGGAGUUCGAAUCUCCUCUUCGGCA
rnacentral:tRNA from 1 species